rnacentral:rRNA from 1 species
AUGGCCACAGAAGAAACCCCAGAGGAAAAUCCAGAGGAUCUUCUACAGGAAACUGAUCAACCUGACGAUCACACAACUCCUGUUACAAGUCCCACUGAGGAGGAGCAAUGCAUGCAAAUUUCCUCCCAAGCGGUGGGCAAGAAAACUGCUGCCAAGUCCUUCUCAUUACAAAUUCAAAUCGGUGGGAAGUGUGGAAUAGCACUAGUUGACUCUGGAAGCUCACACACAUUCAUUGACAUGAAGUUCACCAUGAAAACCACCUGUCACACUGUCCCAACCCCUAUGGAAACUGUCCUUGUUGCGGGAGGAGGAACACUACAGUCGGGAUCCCAGGUAGUUGAAACACAAUACACCAUCCAAGGACACAAGUUCAAGAACUCCUAUAAAGUGUUACCACUGAAGGGAUAUGACAUGAUCUUGGGGUGCGAUUGGCUGGAAAAACAUAGCCCAAUCACAAUGGACUUUAUCACCAGGAAAAUGCAGGUCAUUUUAGACGGCAAAACCAAAAUCACUCUCAGAGAUAACAACAGGAAGGGCACGGUCCCUCUCAUCUCAGUACACCGAAUGGAGAAGCUUGCCUCCACUGACGUAGCCGGCUACUGCCUUUUCCCCUUGUCCAAAACCACCGAACAGCAAGAACAACAAUGCAAUGAAGUGGAGGAAUUACUGAAGGAAUACCAUGAUCUUUUCCAAGAACCCAAAGGAAUGCCACCUAUCAGAGAAUGUGACCACUCCAUCCCCUUGAAGAAUAACUCUGAGCCCCCUAUGGUCAGACCUUAUCGGGUUCCCCACAAGCAAAAGAAUGAAAUGGAGCACUAA